rnacentral:piRNA from 1 species
UGCAUAUCCAAAAAGCCACCGAGUAUUUGU